rnacentral:rRNA from 1 species
GUACACGCUGUGACUAGCAUAUCAAUAAGCGGAGGAAAAGAAACUAACAAGGAUUCCCCUAGUAACGGCGAGUGAAGCGGGAAGAGCUCAAAUUUGAAAUCUUAAAGGGUUUCCCUUUACGAAUUGUAGUUUAAAGAAGUGUUUUCUGUUGAGGUUUUGGUAAAAGUUCUUUGGAAUAGGACAUCAUAGAGGGUGAGAAUCCCGUAUUUGACCUUUACUUUCAACUUUGUGAUACACUUUCAAAGAGUCGGAUUGUUUGGGAAUGCAGUCCAAAAUGGGUGGUAAAUUUCAUCUAAAGCUAAAUAUUGGCGAGAGACCGAUAGCGAACAAGUACCGUGAGGGAAAGAUGAAAAGAACUUUGAAAAGAGAGUUAAACAGUACGUGAAAUUGUCAAAAGGGAAGCGUUUGACACCAGUGUUGUUUUUCUGAAAAUCAAUUAAAGAACUGUUUAUGCUAAGUUGUUUAGACUUUAUCAGCUAACUGUUUAGUUUUGAGCUUUUCUUUAAUGCACUUUUCAGUUAACAAGUCAACAUCAAUUUCUUUUGCUGUAAAAAAGCUUGAGGAAGGUGGCUUGAGAUUCGUCUUAAGUGUUUAUAGCCUCUUGCCUAUGCAGUCGGAGAGAUUGAGGUCUGCAGCGUAGAUCCUUCGGGGCUAAAUGCAUUUGUGCUAAGUUAUAGCAUUUUAUAGACAACUUGUUGACUAUGAUUUGUCUUGUAGCUUACUCGCUUAUGUUAUUUUACCUACGCUUAGGAUGUUGAAUCUGUGCGAGACUAC